CCGUGAGCCUGGUAUGAAGUGACGCUCAUAAACUACGUUCAAUGUUUCACAAAAUGCGUCGUAGCUGAGUUGGUUUGUUUGUUUUCGAAGGAGAAGUGGAUAAGUCGUUUCAUCAUGGAUUCAAAGAGACUCGUCUGUGAUCGGAUAUCUUUUGUCCUGCUCAUUUUGGGGAAUAUUGCAACAGCUCUCUCUGGCCAAAAUCUUGACUGUACCAACGACUACGAGUCAAUGACCUGCCACUUUGAAGCGCAAAACUGCACUGGAUACAAAUUGACUCUCCGG